ACUAGAACAUUCCGUGUUGAAGACUUGCAACCGAUCAAUCAACCAAAAUGAUGAAAUCACCAAUCACUCUCUUGGCUCUUGCCAUGGUUGGCAUGAUGGCUGUUUUCAACGGCGUUGCUGCUCACGAUGAUGACCCACCCGUAGUACAUGUACAACCAACAUACACUUACCGACGUCCCGUCGUAACUUACGGUUGAAUCAAUUCUUAAACUCAAUGAUAAUAUUAUUUCAUGUUGAUGACUUAUUAAAAUAAAAAUAAAUGCUUGUUUAAGUGCAAAAUCUUA